CGGGCGUGCUACCGGCGUUGAUUGUUCUCGAUUGGUUACAGUGGUUCAGUUGCAUCGGGAACAUGCAACCACUCUAUUAGCAAAGAGUUGCUCCAGGAUAAGGAUGGGAUUGGGCCCAAUAAUUGUUAGGUGAGGGAUCCAAUGAUGGCCUUGCACCUACUUGUGAAUGGUGGAUCGGACUUAACGAAGAAAUGUGGGCAAUAACUGUUAAGUGAGCCCACAUGACUAAGAGACCAAGUCGCUGCAACAUGCUUAGAAAAGCAUAUGGACAAAAAGUUUCCUAU
rnacentral:lncRNA from 1 species